rnacentral:rRNA from 1 species
AUUGAACGCUGGCGGCAGGCCUAACACAUGCAAGUCGAGCGGAUGAAGGGAGCUUGCUCCUGGAUUCAGCGGCGGACGGGUGAGUAAUGCCUAGGAAUCUGCCUGGUAGUGGGGGAUAACGUCCGGAAACGGGCGCUAAUACCGCAUACGUCCUGAGGGAGAAAGUGGGGGAUCUUCGGACCUCACGCUACCAGAUGAGCCUAGGUCGGAUUAGCUAGUUGGUUGGGUAAAGGCCUACCAAGGCGACGAUCCGUAACUGGUCUGAGAGGAUGAUCAGUCACACUGGAACUGAGACACGGUCCAGACUCCUACGGGAGGCAGCAGUGGGGAAUAUUGGACAAUGGGCGAAAGCCUGAUCCAGCCAUACCGCGUGUGUGAAGAAGGUCUUCGGAUUGUAAAGCACUUUAAGUUGGGAGGAAGGGCAGUAAGUUAAUACCUUGCUGUUUUGACGUUACCAACAGAAUAAGCACCGGCUAACUUCGUG